rnacentral:ncRNA from 1 species
CCCUAAACUUACACAUGCAAGUCUCAGCACACCCGUGAGGACGCCCUUCCCCCUACACCAGAAUUAGGAGCCGGCAUCAGGCAUUAAACUUACCCAUCACGCCUAGUCCCACCACGCCCAUAAGGGCCUUCAGCAGUGAUAAAUAUUGUCUAUAAGCGACAGCUUGACUCAAUUAUGGGGGAAAGGGCUGGCUAACUCGGUGCCAGCCGCCGCGGCUAAACCGCACGAGCCCAAGUUGACAGUUAUCGGCGUUAAGCGUGAUUAAAGAUUUCUUCCAAAUUAGAGUAAAACCUACACUUAGCUGUGAUAAGCUUGUGUUAGAGAAAAAUAAAAGCGAAAGUUGCUCUAAUCUACUUGAACACACGAUAGUCGGGAAACAAACUGGGAUUAGAUACCCCACUAUGCCCCACCGUAAAAUAUUAACCUACAUCAACAACGCCAGGGUAUUACGAGCCUUAGCUUAAAACCCAAAGGACUUGACGGUGUCCCAUCCAACUAGAGGAGCCUGUUCUAUAAUCGAUAACCCCCGAUAUACCCGACCCCAUUUUGCAAAUCAGCCUGUAUACCUCCGUCGCAAGCUUACCAUAUGAAUGCUAACAGUAAGUCUAAUGAUUAAACACCAACACGUCAGGUCAAGGUGCAGCUUAUGAUAGGGCAAGCAAUGGGCUACAAUUUCUAAUAUAGAACAUACGAAAUGCUACAUGAAACACAGUCACGAAGGCGGAUUUAGUAGUAAAAAUGAAAUAAAGUGUCCUUUUUAACAAGGCCCUGGGACGUGUACACACCGCCCGUCACCCUCUUCAAUAGUUCACAACAUGUUUAUUACAACCCACACACCCUAGAAGAGGCAAGUCGUAACAUGGUAAGCGUACCGGAAGGUGCACUUGGAUUACC